AGAGUUUGAUCAUGGCUCAGGAUGAACGCUGGCGGCGUGCCUAACACAUGCAAGUCGAGCGAUUCUCUUCGGAGAAGAGCGGCGGACGGGUGAGUAACGCGUGGGUAACCUGCCCUGUACACACGGAUAACAUACCGAAAGGUAUGCUAAUACGAGAUAAUAUGCUUUUAUCGCAUGGUAGAAGUAUCAAAGCUUUUGCGGUACAGGAUGGACCCGCGUCUGAUUAGCUAGUUGGUAAGGUAACGGCUUACCAAGGCGACGAUCAGUAGCCGACCUGAGAGGGUGAUCGGCCACAUUGGAACUGAGACACGGUCCAAACUCCUACGGGAGGCAGCAGUGGGGAAUAUUGCACAAUGGGCGAAAGCCUGAUGCAGCAACGCCGCGUGAGCGAUGAAGGCCUUCGGGUCGUAAAGCUCUGUCCUCAAGGAAGAUAAUGACGGUACUUGAGGAGGAAGCCCCGGCUAACUACGUGCCAGCAGCCGCGGUAAUACGUAGGGGGCUAGCGUUAUCCGGAAUUACUGGGCGUAAAGGGUGCGUAGGUGGUUUCUUAAGUCAGAGGUGAAAGGCUACGGCUCAACCGUAGUAAGCCUUUGAAACUGGGAAACUUGAGUGCAGGAGAGGAGAGUGGAAUUCCUAGUGUAGCGGUGAAAUGCGUAGAUAUUAGGAGGAACACCAGUUGCGAAGGCGGCUCUCUGGACUGUAACUGACACUGAGGCACGAAAGCGUGGGGAGCAAACAGGAUUAGAUACCCUGGUAGUCCACGCCGUAAACGAUGAGUACUAGCUGUCGGAGGUUACCCCCUUCGGUGGCGCAGCUAACGCAUUAAGUACUCCGCCUGGGAAGUACGCUCGCAAGAGUGAAACUCAAAGGAAUUGACGG
rnacentral:rRNA from 1 species